UCCGGAGGGGGCUAUCGUUGUUCGGAAUUACUGGGCGUAAAGCGCGCGUAGGCGGACCUGCAAGUCGGGGGUGAAAGCCCGAGGCUUAACCUCGGAACUGCCUUCGAUACUGCGGGUCUCGAGUCCGGGAGAGGUGAGUGGAAUUCCUAGUGUAGAGGUGAAAUUCGUAGAUAUUAGGAAGAACACCAGUGGCGAAGGCGGCUCACUGGCCCGGUACUGACGCUGAGGCGCGAAAGCAUGGGGAGAAAACAGG
rnacentral:rRNA from 1 species